CUUUCUUCCGAUUUUGAAUCUUUCCCGGUUUUCGUUUUAAGCCAGCCACUGCUUCUUCUUUGUGUCUAGCAGCGUGGUGUUAGUUUGUUGGGAAAAAACACUACUGGUGGUUUGCGCUCUUUCGGUUGUUUGGUUGGGUUCGAAGGUUUUUCUAUCUAUAAAGGGUGGAUUCUCCUGGUUAGUUGUUUGCCUUUCUCAUAUUAGGUAUUUCUUUUUGUUCCUUACCGUUUUUCAUUUUUGUGGAUGGGUUUCCUGUUUGCAGCUGUGUUUUGGAAAUUUGGGGGUUUUGCUACCAUCUUGGGUUUUUGGGUUUGCAAGCCGUGUUUGUUAUUGGUGAGUGUUUUCCUUUCGUCCCUUCAAGGGUUUUGGAGAGAUGAGUUUUGGUUUUUCCUGUGGUGUAAGAAUUGUGUUAUGCUGUAUUUUGUUUGUGUUUAAUGCUUUCAUGUUUUCUUUGAUUUAAUUUGAAGGAAAUUUGUGUUAUUUCCAAGUUAUGUAAAAACAAAAACUGAGUGAUUGAAAAAUGUAAAGAUCGAUUGACAGGCAAGAAAAUGAAGUUAAAUUUUA